rnacentral:rRNA from 1 species
CCUACGGGGGGCUGCAGUGGGGAAUAUUGGACAAUGGGGGCAACCCUGAUCCAGCCAUGCCGCGUGUGUGAAGAAGGCCCUCGGGUUGUAAAGCACUUUCAGUGAGGAAGAACGCCUGGUGGUUAAUACCCAUCAGGAAAGACAUCACUCACAGAAGAAGCACCGGCUAACUCCGUGCCAGCAGCCGCAGUAAUACGGAGGGUGCGAGCGUUAAUCGGAAUUACUGGGCGUAAAGCGCGCGUAGGUGGCUUGAUAAGCCGGUUGUGAAAGCCCCGGGCUCAACCUGGGAACGGCAUCCGGAACUGUCAAGCUAGAGUGCAGGAGAGGAAGGUAGAAUUCCCGGUGUAGCGGUGAAAUGCGUAGAGAUCGGGAGGAAUACCAGUGGCGAAGGCGGCCUUCUGGACUGACACUGACACUGAGGUGCGAAAGCGUGGGUAGCAAACAGGAUUAGAUACCCUUGUAGUC